rnacentral:rRNA from 1 species
GUGGGGAAUAUUGGGCAAUGGGGGCAACCCUGACCCAGCGACGCCGCGUGAGGGAAGAAGGCCUUAGGGUCGUAAACCUCUGUUGUGUGGGAAGAAGGAAGUGACGGUACCACACGAGGAAGUCCCGGCUAACUACGUGCCAGCAGCCGCGGUAAUACGUAGGGGACGAGCGUUGUCCGGAAUUACUGGGCGUAAAGGGCGCGUAGGCGGUCAUUUAAGUCAGCUGUGAAAUGGUCCGGCUCAACCGGAUCAUGCGGUUGAAACUGGAUGACUGGAGUGCUGGAGAGGCAAGUGGAAUUCCCAGUGUAGCGGUGAAAUGCGUAGAUAUUGGGAAGAACACCGGUGGCGAAGGCGACUUGCUGGGCAGCAACUGACGCUGAGGCGCGAAAGCCAGGGGAGCAAACGGGAUUAGAUACUCGUGUAGUCC